GGGAGGUUAGUGUAGUGGUUAGCAUACCACCCUUCCAAGGUGGUGACAUGGGUUCGAAUCCCGUAUCUCUCA
rfam:Pichia membranifaciens DNA, contig: CON114, strain: KS47-1.